rnacentral:rRNA from 1 species
UACGUAGGGGGCUAGCGUUGUCCGGAAUCAUUGGGCGUAAAGCGCGCGUAGGCGGCCCGGUAAGUCCGUUGUGAAAGUCAAAGGCUCAACCUUUGAAAGCCGAUGGAUACUGCCGGGCUGGAGUCCGGAAGAGGCGAGUAGAAUUCCUGGUGUAGCGGUGGAAUGCGCAGAUAUCAGGAGGAACACCAAUAGCGAAGGCAGCUCGCUGGGACGGUACUGACGCUGAGGCGCGAAAGCGUGGGGAGCGAACAGG